CAGCAGCCACGGUAAUACGGAGGGGGCUAGCGUUGUUCGGAAUUACUGGGCGUAAAGCGCACGUAGGCGGCUUGGUAAGUUAGAGGUGAAAGCCCGGAGCUCAACUCCGGAAUUGCCUUUAAGACUGCCGAGCUAGUAGGUGAGAGAGGUAAGUGGAAUUCCGAGUGUAGAGGUGAAAUUCGUAGAUAUUCGGAAGAACACCAGUGGCGAAGGCGGCUCACUGGACGACUGUUGACGCUGAGGUACGAAAGCGUGGGGAGCAAACAGGAUUAGAUACCCCUGUAGUCCCUGUCUCUUAUAC
rnacentral:rRNA from 1 species